AUACGGAGGGAGCGAGCGUUGUCCGGAAUUACUGGGCGUAAAGGGCGCGUAGGCGGCGCUUCAAGUCGUCUGUCAAAUGGGAGGGCUUAACCCUUUUUCGCAGACGAAACUGGAGAGCUUGAGAAGCAGAGAGGCAAACAGAAUUCCUGGUGUAGCGGUGAAAUGCGUAGAUAUCAGGAAGAAUACCAGUGGCGAAGGCGGUUUGCUGGCUGCAUACUGACGCUGAAGCGCGAAAGCCAGGGGAGCAAACGGGAUUAGAUACCCCGGUAGUCCUGGCAGUAAACGAUGUAUGCUGGGUGUGAGACUAGCGAUAGUUUCGUGCCGAAGUUAACGCGAUAAGCAUACCGCCUGGGGAGUACGGUCGCAAGAUUGAAACUCAAAUGAAUUGACGGGG
rnacentral:rRNA from 1 species